GACGAACGCUGGCGGCAUGCCUAACACAUGCAAGUCGAGCGAGGUGAGUUCUUCGGAACGAUCCUAGCGGCGGACGGGUGAGUAACACGUGGGCAACCUGCCUCAUAGAGGGGAAUAGCCUUCCGAAAGGAAGAUUAAUACCGCAUAAGAUUGCAUCUUCGCAUGAAGAAGCAAUUAAAGGAGCAAUCCGCUAUGAGAUGGGCCCGCGGCGCAUUAGCUAGUUGGUGAGGUAACGGCUCACCAAGGCGACGAUGCGUAGCCGACAUGGGAGGGGGAGCGGCCACAUUGGGACUGAGACACGGCCCAGACUCCUACGGGAGGCAGAAGUGGGGAAUAUUGCACAAUGGGGAAACCUUGAUGCAGUAAUGCCGCGUGAGUGAUGACGGCCUUCGGGUUGUAAAGCUCUGUCUUCGGGGACGAUAAUGACGGUACCCGAGGAGGAAGCCACGGCUAACUACGUGCCAGCCGCCGCGGUAA
rnacentral:rRNA from 1 species